rnacentral:lncRNA from 1 species
GGCCCAAUUCCCCGGGUGGAAUUUACAAGCGUUUUGCCUUCUCCUCCUGAUCUAACACCAGCUUAGAGAAUUUCUUCAAGCCAGCCUUUCUCUUUAACCCCUGCGGCUCCGGCAGAUAGCAGUCCAGCCAUCCUUGCUAAGUUCCUGAGAUUCCCUCCAAGGUCUGGGCUUUUCUCCAACACGUGGCUCCCUGCUACCAUCUGAGAAGUCCCUGAUGCUGAGGUCUCUGCUGACUUGCCCCGAAGGAUUGCCGACACAAGGACAUUUAUGUCUUCCCCACAGGGAAAAACACCCCAUUAGAAGGCAGAAGUCUGGUUACUCAUAGGAUCUCCAGGGAGCUGCAGUGACACCAGAGGAGGGCUACUGGAAAUGGCACCAGGACAUCAUAUGUGGUAAGACAGGAUCAGGGUGGACGCCCAUUCUACAGAGGGAAAACUGAGGCUCUGGACAAAACAAAACAAAACAAAACAAAAAACGUUGGCUUGCCCCCACUGGCUUUCCACAGGUUCUAGAUUGUUCCUUCUGUCUCAGUUUCUCAUGGGACCAGUCAUUCUCUAGCUCACCAGAUUCUCUAUCUGGGACACUGGAAGAUUGUCUGCCCCUGUGUGGUGGGAGCUCCCAGCUUCUCCAUGGGAAUUCUAGCACAUGCAGUGAAGAUGAUGAUGUGUAGCUGUGACGUUGAUGAUGUGUGUUUGUUGAGAGUUGGACAGUUGUCUCCCUCACAAGGCAAUAAAUGGCUGCCAGAGGCAGAAACAACGUCAAAGUC